AGCGGUUGACAACCAGACAAGACUGAUUAACAGCACUGCUCUGCCAGAAACUACAGCGGCUAGUGAAGAACUAUCUCUCCAGUUGGUGGCUGUACCAGACUACCCGGUGGCAGCAGGUCAGAGUGUCAGUCUGAGCUGCAGAACUGGUAACAUGUCAGCACACGUCACUUGGUUUUGGGAACACCUGCAACAUCAGACCUGGAAAGUAGUGGGCAAUGGCAGCGAUCUGACGCUCACCGAGCCACAGCAGAGUGGGCAGUACCGCUGCCUUGCUGAGAACCAAUCAUCUCAGAGGAAAUGGAGCACAAGCCACACAGUCUAUAUCAUCUCUAUCCAAGCAACAGUGGGAGAGAGUUUAGGAAUGGCUGGCUUCGUCCUUUCUCUUCUGUCCUGGGUUUUCAUCAUUGCGAUUAUUUUCUGGCUCUCCUGCAAAAGACUUGGUGGCACAACAACCACCUCCGGCACCCCGGGUAAAGGUUUGCCUGGACCCCAAAUGGCAUCAAAGGGAGGAUUGCCAGAGGGUGACAGUGACGGAGAUGUGUACAUAAAUUACACAGGCAGUAACCCAGCGUACACAGAUCUGGAUCCCACUACUAUGACUCAGGAUAAUGUGUACUCAAGUAUAUGAUGAAUCAUGAGCUGAGAGAAGGUGGAGAUGUGCAAUAAAAAGUGGAAGAAUGACAAACGACUCAAGCUGAGUCUUAUCCGCAUGUAUAGCUCUGCAUUACAUUUAAUCUGAUAGAUGAAGUUUGCCAUCAGUGUGUGAAUUGCCUUUGUUAGAUUUAAUCUAUUUUCACAAAAGUCAUGUAUCGCUGUCUGAAUGUACUAAAAACCCACAGCUGUGUAGUUCAAAGUGUGUAGAGUAGAUGCCUAUCUGCUGUCUUCCUUCUUGCUGAUGUCCCAGAAAUUGUUUUUUAAUUUAUAGUAAUGAUCACGACAUGGCAGCUUUACACGAAAAU